GGGUUGUGAGGUUAAGCGACUAAGCGUACACGGUGGAUGCCCUGGCAGUCAGAGGCGAUGAAGGACGUGCUAAUCUGCGAAAAGCGUCGGUAAGGUGAUAUGAACCGUUACAGCCGGCGAUGUCCGAAUGGGGAAACCCAGUGCAAUUCGUUGCACUAUCGUUAACUGAAUACAUAGGUUAACGAGGCGAACCGGGGGAACUGAAACAUCUAAGUACCCCGAGGAAAAGAAAUCAACCGAGAUUCCCCCAGUAGCGGCGAGCGAACGGGGAGCAGCCCAGAGUCUGAAUCAGCUUGUGUGUUAGUGGAACGGUCUGGAAAGUCCGACGGUACAGGGUGAUAGUCCCGUACACCAAAAUGCACAGGCUGUGAACUCGAAGAGUAGGGCGGGACACGUGGUAUCCUGUCUGAAUAUGGGGGGACCAUCCUCCAAGGCUAAAUACUCCUGACUGACCGAUAGUGAACCAGUACCGUGAGGGAAAGGCGAAAAGAACCCCGGCGAGGGGAGUGAAAAAGAACCUGAAACCGUGUACGUACAAGCAGUGGGAGCACCUUCGGGUGUGACUGCGUACCUUUUGUAUAAUGGGUCAGCGACUUAUAUUCUGUAGCAAGGUUAACCGUAUAGGGGAGCCGCAGGGAAACCGAGUCUUAACUGGGCGUUAAGUUGCAGGGUAUAGACCCGAAACCCGGUGAUCUAGCCAUGGGCAGGUUGAAGGUUGGGUAACACUAACUGGAGGACCGAACCGACUAAUGUUGAAAAAUUAGCGGAUGACUUGUGGCUGGGGGUGAAAGGCCAAUCAAACCGGGAGAUAGCUGGUUCUCCCCGAAAGCUAUUUAGGUAGCGCCUCGUGAAUUCAUCUUCGGGGGUAGAGCACUGUUUCGGCUAGGGGGUCAUCCCGACUUACCAACCCGAUGCAAACUACGAAUACCGAAGAAUGUUAUCACGGGAGACACACGGCGGGUGCUAACGUCCGUCGUGAAGAGGGAAACAACCCAGACCGCCAGCUAAGGUCCCAAAGUCACAGUUAAGUGGGAAACGAUGUGGGAAGGCACAGACAGCCAGGAUGUUGGCUUAGAAGCAGCCAUCAUUUAAAGAAAGCGUAAUAGCUCACUGGUCGAGUCGGCCUGCGCGGAAGAUGUAACGGGGCUAAACUGUGCACCGAAGCUGCGGCAGCGACACUAUGUGUUGUUGGGUAGGGGAGCGUUCUGUAAGCCUGCGAAGGUGGCCUGUGAGGGUUGCUGGAGGUAUCAGAAGUGCGAAUGCUGACAUAAGUAACGAUAAUGCGGGUGAAAAGCCCGCACGCCGGAAGACCAAGGGUUCCUGUCCAACGUUAAUCGGGGCAGGGUGAGUCGACCCCUAAGGCGAGGCCGAAAGGCGUAGUCGAUGGGAAACAGGUUAAUAUUCCUGUACUUGGUGUUACUGCGAAGGGGGGACGGAGAAGGCUAUGUUAGCCGGGCGACGGUUGUCCCGGUUUAAGCAUGUAGGCGGAGGUUCCAGGUAAAUCCGGUACCUUUUAACGCUGAGGUGUGAUGACGAGGCACUACGGUGCUGAAGUAACAAAUGCCCUGCUUCCAGGAAAAGCCUCUAAGCAUCAGGUAACAUUAAAUCGUACCCCAAACCGACACAGGUGGUCAGGUAGAGAAUACCAAGGCGCUUGAGAGAACUCGGGUGAAGGAACUAGGCAAAAUGGUGCCGUAACUUCGGGAGAAGGCACGCUGAUAUGUAGGUGAAGCCCCUGCGGGUGGAGCUGAAAUCAGUCGAAGAUACCAGCUGGCUGCAACUGUUUAUUAAAAACACAGCACUGUGCAAACACGAAAGUGGACGUAUACGGUGUGACGCCUGCCCGGUGCCGGAAGGUUAAUUGAUGGGGUUAUCCGUAAGGAGAAGCUCUUGAUCGAAGCCCCGGUAAACGGCGGCCGUAACUAUAACGGUCCUAAGGUAGCGAAAUUCCUUGUCGGGUAAGUUCCGACCUGCACGAAUGGCGUAAUGAUGGCCAGGCUGUCUCCACCCGAGACUCAGUGAAAUUGAACUCGCUGUGAAGAUGCAGUGUACCCGCGGCAAGACGGAAAGACCCCGUGAACCUUUACUAUAGCUUGACACUGAACAUUGAGCCUUGAUGUGUAGGAUAGGUGGGAGGCUUUGAAGCGUGGACGCCAGUCUGCGUGGAGCCAACCUUGAAAUACCACCCUUUAAUGUUUGAUGUUCUAACGUUGGCCCCUUAUCGGGGUUGCGGACAGUGUCUGGUGGGUAGUUUGACUGGGGCGGUCUCCUCCCAAAGAGUAACGGAGGAGCACGAAGGUUAGCUAAUCCUGGUCGGACAUCAGGAGGUUAGUGCAAUGGCAUAAGCUAGCUUGACUGCGAGCGUGACGGCGCGAGCAGGUGCGAAAGCAGGUCAUAGUGAUCCGGUGGUUCUGAAUGGAAGGGCCAUCGCUCAACGGAUAAAAGGUACUCCGGGGAUAACAGGCUGAUACCGCCCAAGAGUUCAUAUCGACGGCGGUGUUUGGCACCUCGAUGUCGGCUCAUCACAUCCUGGGGCUGAAGUAGGUCCCAAGGGUAUGGCUGUUCGCCAUUUAAAGUGGUACGCGAGCUGGGUUUAGAACGUCGUGAGACAGUUCGGUCCCUAUCUGCCGUGGGCGCUGGAGAAUUGAGGGGGGCUGCUCCUAGUACGAGAGGACCGGAGUGGACGCAUCACUGGUGUUCGGGUUGUCAUGCCAAUGGCAUUGCCCGGUAGCUAAAUGCGGAAGAGAUAAGUGCUGAAAGCAUCUAAGCACGAAACUUGCCCCGAGAUGAGUUCUCCCUGAGACUUUAAGUCUCCUGAAGGAACGUUAAAGACGAUGACGUUGAUAGGUCGGGUGUGUAAGCGUAGCGAUACGUUGAGCUAACCGAUACUAAUGAACCGUGAGGCUUAACCUUACAACGCCGAAGGUGUUU
rnacentral:rRNA from 1 species